CAGCACUGUUCGUGACCUGCAGUCUGCCGUGGCGCGCGGGUUCCAUUCCAGUGCGACAGCAAGUCCAGGGGCCCGAGUCUGACUGACCCAUUCGGGCUCUCGGGCUGAGGCCUUGGGGACAGCU